GCAGCUAAAGCGGUACAGUAGUGGAGUAUCUCAAGUAACAGAGUAAAAAAGUAAUCGAUACAUGAAGUAAUCCUGCAGCUAAAGCAGUACAGUAGUGGAGUAUCGCAAGUAACAGAGUAAAAAAGUAAUCGAUACAUGAAGUAAUCCUGCAGCUAAAGCAGUACAGUAAUGGAGUAUCUACAAGUAACAGAGUAAAAAAGUAAUCGAUACAUGAAGUAAUCGAGUAAAUGAGCAGUUCAGUGAUUUCAUAAAAAAGUAAUCGAGUAAAUUAGUAACGUGAGUACUUGAAGUAAUAGAGUAAAUAAGUAAUCUAUUACUCGAGGUAAUCGAGUAAAUAUUUUUUCCAGGAUUUCAUAAAAAAGUAAUCGAGUAAAUUAGUAACGUGAGUACUUGAGGUAAUGGAGUAAAUAAGUAAUCUAUUACUUGAGGUAAUCGAGUAAAUAUUUUUUCCAGGAUUUCAUAAAAAAGUAAUCGCGUAAAUUAGUAACGUGAGUACUUGAGGUAAUAGAGUAAGUAAGCAAUCUAUUACUCGAGGUAAUCGAGUAAACAUUUUUUCAGUGAUUUCAUAAAAAAGUAAUCAAGUAAAUUAGUAACGUGAGUACUUGAAGUAAUAGCGUAAAGAAGUAAUCGAUUACAAGAGGUAGUCAAGUAGCUGAACCAGUUCAAUAAUUGAGUACCUCAAGUAAUGGAGUAAAAAAGUAAUCAAUUACCUAAGGUAAUCGAGUAAUUAAGAAUUUCAAUGAUGUUUAAAAAAGUAAUCAAGUAAAUUAAUUACAUGUGCACGAAGCAAUAGAUACUCUAUUGCUUAAGUAGCUGAAGCAGUUCAGUAAUUGAGUAAUUCGAAGAUCGAGUAAAUAAGUAAUCGAUUACUUGAGGUAAUGCAGUAAACAAGCAGUUCAGUGAUUGCAUAACAAGUAAUUUUGUAGAUAAAGUACUCGAGUAAUUCAGGUUAUCGUGUAAAUAAGUAAUCGCGUAUAUAAGAUAAUAGAAUAAAUAUAGCUGAUCAGUAGAGUAAGAUCCUGUAAUUCAGUAAUUGAGUACAUAAAGUAAUCAAGUAACUCAAGCAGUUCAGUAACGUUAGGAUAAAUUAAAUUAAGUCCAAUUUAGAGUUCUACAAGUUCUACACUGUUUUAGUUCUUGAGAAUAAGAAAACACCAAGACCUUUGUUGUAUUCUUUAAUCUUCUCAAUAUACAUCUGAUACGUACGUUAGUCAUUCAUCCAUUUGCUAAAUAUGACUGAAUCAAGUGCCUGACCAGAUGUGAGCUUUUGUCAUACUACAUGUUGGGAAAUACAUCAUUACAAAAUUCUUUCAGCAAAAAUGCCAUUGUAGUUCCACACCACAGCGUCCACAACAUGAAGCCGGACGUAGAAGUAGUAAACAUGGCUCCUGUCCGGUGAAACAUCAUCUCCGUCGUUGAUAAGGCAGCACACAGGCGCACAUUAACCUCAUCUGGCUUUGCAGUGGAGGCA